AACCUUUUUGUGUGUUUUUUAAAAUGUUUCCUCUAGGACUAUUACUAUUGAAAUAUUUUUAGUGGACGCUACAGUGAAUUGUUGUUUUGGCAGGUGCAUGAAGGCAGGAAUCAUGAAGUGCGUGAAUUGAUAAAAAAUGCUGGACUUCAGAUUCAUUCACUAAAACGAGUGAGGAUUGGUGGAUUCCGGCUUCCAUCAUACCUAGGACUAGGCAAGUACAUGGAACUCAAGGAAGCAGAUCUUAAACUGUUGGGUAGACAGAUUCAGCGAAGCACCUAAACAAUGAACCGUUGAAUCUUGAGCUGUCUCAAUUCUCAAAUGAAAGAGAAGCUUGCUCAAAUCAGAGGCAUUUCGAUGGGCUUUCAUGAAAAAGCCUAAUCGUUCACAUUUGCGGAGUGGGCUUAGUAACGUUGAAGUGUACAAACAGAUAAUAGUAAGUAGUAUUUGAUGUCUACAGAAUUUGGAAAGAAAAGAAAGUAAUCUUAAAUGUAUUUAUUUCAAAAUAUAGUGCCUUAUAACAUAGCAUUCUAUAUCUAUUCAUAGGAUUUGCAUGAAUAAUAAAACAUAAUAAAUUA